rnacentral:ncRNA from 1 species
UUCUUCAGGGCAGGGUGAAAUUCCCGACCGGCGGUGAUAGUCCGCGACUACAUGCUUUUUAAGUAUGUACUGAUUUGGUGAAAUUCCAAAACCGACAGUAAAGUCUGGAUGGUAGAAGAG